GGAAUCAAAGUUCCUGUGUCUCAGUGGUUGGCCGAACCGCUUAUCCUAGACUGACACCGCCUCGGUAGAGGGGAAGGAGGAAGAGAAAAACAUCACCAUGUGGUUGUCUUUUGUGCACUGACCCCAGUGGGAACCUGGCCUGCAACCCAGGCAUGUGCCUACAGAAUUAACACCAAAUGAUGGAUGACGCCAGAUGCUACAGAACAGCCUGAAGGCCUGGGAAUGGAGAAUCAUCCAGAGCCGAGUCAUGGCUGGGGUCCAGGCCAGGGCCAAGGCCCUGGAACUUACAGAGUCAAGGCUGGGAACAAGGAGUGGAUCCCCAUCACUAAACUGGGGCACCACAUUAAGGACAUAAAUAUCAAUGUACUGCCUCUCACACAACCCCAACUGGGAACCUGGCCCACAAUCCAGGCAUGAACCCUACCAGGAAUUGCAACAGUGAAUUUUUGAUUUGCAGGACGAUGCCCAACCCAUUGAGCUACACUGGUCAGAGGCACUACAUAAUUUUAUACAAGAAAAAUAAAAUGAAGUAAGCCUGUUAAAAAGAAGAAGGAGGCUCUGGCUGGUGUAGCUCAGUGGAUUGAGGGCAGGCCUGUGAAACAAAGGGUUACUGGUUUGAUUCCCAGUCAGGGCACAUGCCUGGGUUGCAGGACGUUGUGGGUCAGGUCCCCAAUAGGGCCUGCAUGAGAGGAACCACACAUUGAUAUUUCUCUCCCUUUCUCCUUCCCUUCCCCUUUGUCUAAAUAUAAAUAAAAUCUUUAAAAAAAUUAAAAUUAAAAAAAAGAAGAACCAUAAAUGCCUGGAAGUACUUUAUGUAUUAAAGAUAUGAGAAGUUCUAGUC